ensembl:lncRNA
CUCAAACCUUCAUGCUGGAGUGGGCCACUGACCUGAUCCAUGCAAAGUCCUUUAUUUCCUUCCUGUCUCUCUUGAGUUUGUUGAAUGCUGUGUUUUAAAGUUCCAAUCUUGAUUGGACUGUGAUGACAGAAUUAAGGAAAGAAGACGCAUAUGAAAUCCUCCUGGGAGGAAGGUGAAUGACUGCAGACCAGAGCUCAGAACUUCAGACCCAUCUUCACACCCUACAGAAAAAAUACUUAGUAUGAUUACAGAGGAAAAAGUGACUACUUCCAACUGGAAAGUCAAGUAAGGAAGGCUUCUCAACAGAUUCCAUGUCUGAGCUCAGACUUGAAGCUGUGAACACAUGAGACAGUGCAGUCUGAGGCAGCAGCAGCAGCAAAGGCGCAGGGGUAAGCAGGAGACAACUGAGGAAUACCUCCUAUUCCACUGAGGCUGACUCUUGCGCUUCUAGGCUGGAUAUACUGCCACAACAAUGACCCUUCCAAGCACGGCAUCUUUGGGGGCACAUUUAUUUGAAUUAUAGCAAAUUUCUCAGAAUUUUCCAACGUGCUGGCAUACUUCACAUGUGCAUCUUGCCAAUUGCUGCCGUAUUGACCUGGAAUGCCUCCUGCCUCUGUCUUCUGGGUGAAUCCCCAUUUAUCCUCCAAGAUACAGCUCAAAUAUCUCCUCCUCUGGGAGCCCUCAUUGCCACAAAGAGUACAUCAUGAGAAACGCUGGGUUGGAAGAAACACAAGCUGGAAUCAAGAUUGCCAGGAGAAAUAUCAAUCACCUCAGAUAUGCAGAUGACACCACCCUUAUGGCAGAAAGCGAAGAGGAACUAAAAGCCUCUUGAUGAAAGUGAAAGUGGAAAGUGAAAAAGUUGGCUUGAAGCUCAACAUUCAGAAAACUAAGAUCAUGGGCAUCCAGUCCCAUCACUUCAUGGGAAAUAGAUGGGGAAACAGUGGAAACACUGUCAGAUUUUAUUUGGGGGGGCUCCAAAAUCACUGCAGAUGGUGACUGUAGCCAUGAAAUUAAAGGACGCUUACUCCUUGGAAGAAAAGUUAUGACCAACCUAGAUAGCAUAUUCAAAAGCAGAGACAUUACCUUGCCGAC